rnacentral:rRNA from 1 species
UAUUCUGAGAGUUUGAUCCUGGCUCAGGAUGAACGCUGGCGGCGUGCCUUAAGCAUGCAAGUCGAACGAGACGUACCGCAAGGUACAUCUAGUGGCGGACGGGUGAGUAACGCGUGGGAAUCUGCCUUAAAGUUGGACAUAGCUCGUCGAAAGACGGGGUAAUUUCCAAUGUGCCCUGUACCGUAAUGGUACGGGGUAAAGUCGCAAGACGCUUUAAGAUGAGCCCGCGUCCUAUCAGCUAGUUGGUGGGGUAAUGGCCUACCAAGGCGACGACGGGUAGCUGGUCUGAGAGGAUGGUCAGCCACAACAGGACUGCGACACGGCCUGUACACCUACGGGUGGCAGCAACUGGGAAUAUUCGGCAAUGGGCGAAAGCCUGACCGAGCGACGCCGCGUGGAGGAUUGAAGGCCCUCGGGUUGUAAACUCCUUUUAUAUGGGAAGAUUAUGACGGUACCAUAAGAAUAAGCACCUGCUAACUACGUGCCAGAAGCCUCGGUAAUACGUAGGGUGCAAGCGUUAUCCGGAUUUAUUGGGCGUAAAGAGUUGCGUAGGCGGAUCCGUGCAUUUUGCUUGAAAGCCCAUGGCUCAACCAUGGUUUUGGGUAAAAUAUGACGGAUCUUGAUGGUUGGAGAGGGUGCUGGAACCGAUGGUGUAGCAGUGAAAUGCGUUGAUAUCAUCGGGAACACCAAAGGCGUAGGCAGGCACCUAGUCAACACAUGACGCUUAGGCACGAAAGCUAGGGGAGCGAAGCAGAUUAGAGACCUGCGUAGUCCUAGCCGUAAACUUUGUCUGCUAGUCCUGCACCAUUUGGCACGGGACGUAGCUAACGCGUUAAGCAGACCGCCUGGGGAGUACGAGCGCAAGCUUAAAACUCAAAGGAAUUGACGGGGACCCGCACAAGCAGUGGAGCGUGUUGUUUAAUUCGAUACGAAGCGAAAAACCUCACCAGGGUUUGACAUGUAUCUGCAAAUCCCAUGAAAGUGGGACUCCUUCGAGGGUGAUACACAGAUGCUGCAUGGCUGUCGUCAGCUCGUGGCGUGAAUCUGAAAGAAGAUUUAAUCGCGCCCUCCCGCCGUAAGGCGGGAUGAAAAAUUUAGCUCAUAUCGGUGAAUUCCUUAUUGACAUUCGGGUUAAUUUUGGUUAAUCUGAAUUAGAGGAUAAUACCGAGGGAAGUCGGGAAGUAUGAUUUUCACUGCUCGCAAGAACUUAAAACUUAAUGUUUCUGAUAAACAAGUAGAAAUUCUUGUUGGUUGUUUACUAGGAGAUGCCUAUCUUACAAAGCUAGGUAAAAUUCAAAUAGAGCAAUCUGAAAAACAAGAAGACUACAUAAGAUGGAAACACAAAGAGCUUAGUUCGAUAAGUUACUCUGGACUUAAAAAUGUUGUCCGUUUUGAUAAAAAGGAUAACAGAGUCACGAGAUCGUUAAGAUUUUGGACUCGACAAUAUUUUAGAAGUUGGAGAGAGAUUUUUUAUCAACAAGGUAAUAAGGUGUUUCCUAAAGAUCUAGCAAAGUGGAUAACUCCAUU